GUAGAUAUAGUUUAAUAAAAAUAUUAGAUUGUGACUCUAAAAAUAGAGGUUAAACCCCUCUUAUCCACC
rnacentral:tRNA from 1 species